rnacentral:rRNA from 1 species
UAAUCACUUGUUCUUUAAAUGAGGACUUGUAUGAAUGGCACCACGAGGGUUUUACUGUCUCCUUUUUCUAAUCAGUGAAACUAAUCUUCCCGUGAAGAAGCGGGAAUAAACAUAUAAGACGAGAAGACCCUAUGGAGCUUUAAAACAUAGAAAUGCCAUACUUCAUUAUAUAUUCCGAUAAUUACCACUUAAUCUAGCAUUAUAAUCUAUAGAUUUUAGGUUGGGGUGACCAUGGAGCAAAAAUCAACCUCCAUAUUGAAAAAACUUCAUUUAAAGCAAAAAAUUACCACUUUAAGCAUCAACAUAUUGACAUUAAUUGACCCAAUAAUUUGAUCAAUGAACCAAGUUACCCUAGGGAUAACAGCGCAAUCUACUUC